UAGCAGGAAAAGUAUGUUAAGAAUAUGCAAUGCUGAUGAGCUCAGAACCACAAUGUUUUUUCACACAGGUCCAGCGUCAGGACAUACUCAGGACAUCUCCCAGAAGCUCCAAAACAAAUUGCCUUUGGACUUUGAGACCAUGAAACCAGAGGAACCAAAUACAGUCCCUCACAGAAAGAGCCAGGAGUGUCUGAGGCAGCUCGAUGAAGCUCUAGGACUUGCUGGUGCUUUUUGGAUUUCCUGGUGGGCCAUUCGGAGUGGGAGAGAAGGUUGA
rnacentral:lncRNA from 1 species